UACAGAGGUCCCGAGCGUUGUUCGGAUUUACUGGGCGUAAAGGGUGCGUAGGUGGCGAUCUAAGUCGGGUGUGAAAUCUCCGGGCUAAACCCGGAGGGUGCGCCCGAAACUGGACUGCUAGAGGGUGGGAGGGGAGACUGGAAUUCUCGGUGUAGCAGUGAAAUGCGUAGAUAUCGAGAGGAACACCGGUGGCGAAGGCGAGUCUCUGGACCACUCCUGACACUGAGGCACGAAAGCCGGGGGAGCAAACAGG
rnacentral:rRNA from 1 species